UGGAAGGUGGCUCAGUGGUAGAGUGCUUGCCUUGCAUGCAUGAGGCCUUGAGUUCGAUUCCUCAGCAUCACAU
rfam:Dipodomys ordii contig_49551, whole genome shotgun sequence.